AACUGGCUCAGAGGAUGUGUGUGGAUGAAGGUGCAAGGAGAGUGUGGUGAAUGGCUAGAUGUGGUUAUGGACAGCGAAGAAGAAGAGCCGAGCGCAGUGGAAAGAUGUGUGUUGAGGAAGAAUGGCGCCAGACAUGGUGCUUGCGUUGCUCUUAGGAAGAGAGCACCAUUGAAAGGAGUGAUUUCUGGUGUAGCGUGGAGGUGGAACAAUUGAAGUUGAAAAUUCCUGGCGUUUGUGACACCCGCCGUUUGUUGCGACGCAGACCUGGACCUGAGCCCUAGGACCAUGCCUCAGGACUACCUGACAUGAUGACUCCUUGCUGUCCCCAGUCCACCUGGCCAUGCUGCUGCUCCAGUUUCAACUGUUCUGCCUUAUUAUUAUUGGACCAUGCUGGUCAUUUAAGAACAUUUCAACAUCUUGUCCAUGUUCUGUUAUAAUCUCCACCCGGCACAGACAGAAGAGGACUGGCCACCCCACAUAGCCUGGUUCCGCUCUAGGUUUCUUGCUUCUUCCUAGGUUUUGGCCUAGGAAAAAACCCAGGGGUUUUAGGCUGGGUUUCUGUACAGCACUUUGAGAUAUCAGCUGAUGUACGAAGGGCUAUAUAAAUAAAUUUGAUUUGAUUUACGAGCCUGCUGGUGCCUACCAUCGCUCAGUCAGACUGCUCUAUCAAAUCAUAGACUUAAUUAUAACAUAAUAACACACAGAAAUACGAGCCUUAGGUCAUUAACAUGGUCGAAUCCAGAAACCAUCAUCUCGAAAACAAGACGUUUAUUCUGUCAGUGAAAUACGGAACCGUUCCGUAUUUUAUCUAACGGGUGGCAUCCAUAAGUCUAAAUAUUCCUGUUACGUUGCACAACCUUCAAUGUUAUGUCAUAAUUACGUAAAAUUCUGGCAAAUUAGGCAGCCCAAACUGUUGCAUAUACACUGACUCUGCGUGCAAUGAACGCAAGAGAAGUGAUACAAUUCCAACUGGUUAAUAUUGCCUGCUAACCUGGAUUUUUUUUGCAAAAUAUGCAGGUUUAAAAAUAUAUACUUCUGUGUAUUUAUUUUAAGAAAAGCAUUGGUGUUUAUGGUUAGGUACAGUCGUGCAACGAUUGUGCUUCUUUCACAAAUGCGCUAUUGUUAAAUCAUCUCCCGUUUGGCGAAGUUGGCUGUCUUUGUUAGGAAGAAAUAGUCUUCACAGUGUUCGCAACGAGCCAGGUUAGCAGGCAAUAUUAACUAAAUAUGCAGGUUUAAAAAUAUAUACUUGUGUAUUGAUUUUAAGAAAGGCAUUGAUGUUUCUGGUUAGGUCCAUAUUGGAGCAAGACAGUCCUUUUUCGCGAAUACGCACCGCAUCGAUUAUAUGCAAUGCAGGACACGCUAGAUAAACUAGUAAUAUCAUCAACCAUGUGGUGUUAACUAGUGAUUAUGAUUGAUUGAUUGUUUUUUAUAGGAUAAGUUUAAUGCUAGCUAGCAACUUACCUUGGCUUCUUACUGUAUUCACGUAACAGGCAGGCUCCUCGUGGAGUGCAAUGUAAUCAGGUGGUUAGAGCGUUGGACUAGUUAACCGUAAGGUUGCAAGAUUGAAUCCCCGAGCUGACAAAGUAAAAAUCUGUCAUUCUGCCCCUGAACAAGGCAGUUAACCUAUCGUUCCUAGGCCGUCAUUGAAAAUAAGAAUGUGUUCUUAACUGACUAGCCUAGUUAUAUAAAGGAUAAAUAAAGGUGUAAAAAUAUAUAUUUUUUAAAUUUGACAAAUCUGAGUCCAAAAAUACAGAUUUCCAAUUGUUAUGAAAACUUAAAAUCGGCCCUAAUUUAUUGGCCAUUACGAUUAAUCGGUCAAACCCUCUAAUAAUCAUAGCUGCAUUUUCCCAAAGAAAAAUACCCCUCCUGCUCAUUAGAAACAGCUCGUACAUUUACUGGACGUACAAAGAGAAAUGUCAGCUUAGGUUACGGCUCCUCCGUGUCAAGCCUGGCUGUCGAAGCAACAGAGAGGAGAACAAGUGAGGAAUACGAGAUGUGGAGAAAGGAUGGAUGACAAUACAGGAGAAGUAAACGCCAUAAGGGGGAAAUCGGUUCUCAAAUGUAUUUUUGGUGGCUGCUUUCUCACAGAGAAGCGUCGCUCCGUUUUAUUGUUUGAGAUUAUGCAGAGUGUUAUUUCAAUGCCAAGGCUGAUUAAUAUAAUACACAUUGGUUGCAACAAUAGGGUUUCAAAAUGAAACUGUCAAAUAGAGGCAAUGUUGUCUAUCGGCCGAGACUUGGGCUUUUCUGACUGGUCUCAUCUGGUUCUCUCCACUCUGUAUUGUGACGAGGGUUUUGAUGGUGAAGGAGGGCGGUCUGUCUGUAUGUGUGUCUGUGUCUCCAAGGUCUAUUCUCUUUGACUUGGCUUUAGUUUGACUUGGCUAUGUGAAUGUUUCAUCUGCCCUCUUCGGAAUUCAGAUUUGGGGGUUGUAGCGAACAGAGCGGUUUCUUUCUUUGUUUUCACUGCUAUUCCUAUGUCACAUGACAUUCCACUGUAAGUCUCUGUGUUUGUGUUUUGGGGAGAAGACAAUUCAUGCAUGAAUCUAUUAUCAUUUCAGGGCUAUAGUAGCUAAUGUAGAGGGGGUUUUGAGGCUGUAUCUAGCACAGGUAGUGGCUGAGGGGAGGACGGCUCAUAAUAAUGGCCGGA